AAACCUCUGAAUUUUUAUUUGGGACCUGCAUGUUGUGAUUUUGGGGUGCUAUCACACCUACACGCCUAAACCUCAAUAGUGCUGCAUCAUGGACCUUGGCCUCAAAGUAUCCAAACCAGGCUGGAUGCCAAGUUCUAGAGAAUUCACACAAAGAUAGUUGUUUGUUGUUCAUCUUUCAUUCUUGAAGAGGACCAACGACAUAAUGAAGACCACAGCCGGGGAUGCAGGCACUCCUGGCAUUUGGCGCCUAGAGAGGGACCUGAAAGGAAGGCUUCCCCCGGCAGGGUGGCCCUGGACAAGGUGGGCUAUUUCGCCAACAGCCCUAGAAAAGGAGCUCCGGUCGUCAAGAGAAGACGCUAACAAGAACAUGCAGGAGAACCAGUAUGGGUUCCCGAGAUGAACAUCUGCACCUGUCAGCAUACUGACCAGAGGGAUAGAGACCCUGAGCAUCAAAGAAAAAACUGGUCAGAGAGACAAGCAGAGGAGGAAGGUGAGACCAAGAAGACAAAGAGCCAAUAAUAAGAUGCUGACUGUCCUUUUUGCAAUGAUGACUGUCGCGGAUGGCUCCGGGAUGGAGUCAUGAUUACAUUGGACUUAUAUGCUUUACCCCACCUUGGGUUAAACCUGUAACUUGAGCACUAUACUUUUGUUUGUGUAACUCCCUAUUUGCUUUCUAAUACUACCAAUGUAACUCCUGAUCAAAUAUUGAAUAGGCUUCAGGGUGCUUGGCAUUCCAAAAAUAUAACAUGGAUGGUAUUGAUCCUCAAGAUAUUGUUUAUAAUCUAUUGUACCAUAUCAAGCAACUUAACACUUUCCAGAAUAUUUCAAGUUUGCUGUUGCAUUUCGUACCCUGAUGGGUAUUCUUGUUACUCUUGA